rnacentral:rRNA from 1 species
UACGUAGGGUGCGAGCGUUGUCCGGAAUUAUUGGGCGUAAAGAGCUUGUAGGCGGUUUGUCGCGUCUGCUGUGAAAUUCCAGGGCUUAACUCUGGGCUUGCAGUGGGUACGGGCAGACUAGAGUGUGGUAGGGGAGACUGGAAUUCCUGGUGUAGCGGUGAAAUGCGCAGAUAUCAGGAGGAACACCGGUGGCGAAGGCGGGUCUCUGGGCAGUAACUGACGCUGGAGGAGCGAAAAGCGUGGGGAGCGAACAGGAUUAGACUACCC